AGUUAGUGAAGCUAAUCUUUACCAUCUAAGUUUCUUUCAGAGUUUGGCAGCCAGCGGUACUCAGCUCCUUCUGGAAGGUUCCACUCCAGCCUCUCCUCUGCAGUAGCACCUUUUGUGAUCUGGAGACAGAAAACAAGAGACCUUAAGGGUGAAAGCUUGCAGGGGAAGAAAAAAAACCCAAAAAGGAAAAUAAUAACAGUUUAAGCUGCCAGCAAACCAAAAUAUGCUCUAAAGACAUACAAUAUUCUAUGGCAGAUUUCAGAGAUAAUCUUUAAAGGAACAA